UACGUAGGGUGCAAGCGUUAAUCGGAAUUACUGGGCGUAAAGCGUGCGCAGGCGGUUAUGCAAGACAGAUGUGAGAUCCCCGGGCUCAACCUGGGAACUGCAUUUGUGACUGCAAGGCUGGAGUGCGGCAGAGGGGGAUGGAAUUCCGCGUGUAGCAGUGAAAUGCGUAGAUAUGCGGAGGAACACCGAUGGCGAAGGCAAUCCCCUGGGCCUGCACUGACGCUCAUGCACGAAAGCGUGGGGAGCAAAUAGG
rnacentral:rRNA from 1 species